rnacentral:lncRNA from 1 species
AAAACAUUUAACUGAAUAGAAUGACAGUAAAACAGUUAUACUAUGUGUUGGCUGAGUAGUUAGCGGAGAUUCACUACAAUUUGUGUUAAUUUUCAAAACUUUUUGUAGGGAAAGAGUGGAACCAUAUACACAAUUAUUAAUUUGAGCAAAUAUUUAGGAAGAGGUCAUAAUUUUAUGGAGUCUGUGAAGGAAGAAACCACAUGGAAAAAGUGAUACACAAGUUACUUCUAAAAAAAAGGAUUUUGUGAACAAACUCUUGCACUUGACUUUUUUUCCCACUUUCGGGGCGUCAAGUAGCCUAGCGGUUAAAGGAGGCAGGUAGCCUAGCGGUUAGAGGAGGCGGGUAGCCUAGCGGUUAGAGGAGGCAGGUAGCCUAGCGGUUAGAGGAGGCAGGUAGCCUAGCGGUUAGAGGAGGAGGCGGGUAGCCUAGCGGUUAGAGGAGGCAGGUAGCCUAGCGGUUAGAGGAGGCAGGUAGCCUAGCGGUUAGAGGAGGAGGCGGGUAGCCUAGCGGUUAGAGGAGGCGGGUAGCCUAGCGGUUAGAGGAGGCGGGUAGCCUAGCGGUUAGAGAGUUGGGCCAGUAACCAAAAGGUUGCUAGAUCGAAUCCCUGAGAAAACAAGGUAAAAAUCUGUCGUUAGGCCGUCAUUG